AGCGAACGCUGGCGGCAGGCCUAACACAUGCAAGUCGAACGAACCUUUCGGGGUUAGUGGCGGACGGGUGAGUAACACGUGGGAACGUGCCUUUAGGUUCGGACUAACUCAGGGAAACUUGUGCUAAUACCGAAUGUGCCCUUCGGGGGAAAGAUUAAUCGCCUUUAGAGCGGCCCGCGUCUGAUUAGCUAGUUGGUUGAGGUAAUGGCUCACCAAGGCGACGAUCAGUAGCUGGUCUGAGAGGAUGAUCAGCCACAUUGGGACUGAGACACGGCCCAAACUCCUACGGGAGGCAGCAGUGGGGAAGCUUGCGCAAUGGGCGAAAGCCUGACGCAGCCAUGCCGCGUGAAUGAUGAAGGUCUUAGGAUUGUAAAAUUCUUUCACCGGGGACGAUAAUGACGGUACCCGGAGAAGAAGCCCCGGCUAACUUCGUA
rnacentral:rRNA from 1 species